AUGGCGAGAGCCUUUCGCGCGGCAUCCCCGCUGCCCCUCCCCUCUUCCAGCUCCAGGAGCGCCACCGCACCGAGCGGCGGCGGUGGCAGCGGGAGCUUCACUUGGCUGCUCAAGAAGCGCUCCAGCAAGGCGCCGCAGCGCAGCGGGCCGAGCGGCCAAGAGGCGGAGGACGAGGGAGACGAGGAGGAGGCUGGAGCAGCCGCUCUGUCCUCCGCGCACUCGUCUUCCACCGGCGAGCAGUCCUCCUCUUCCUCCUCGUCGUCGAGGAAGAAGCGCGCGGACGCGCUGGCGCGUCUGCGGUCGGUGUUCCUGGCGGCGAUCACGCACCGGCGCCGGCGCCGGCAGCUCGGGUCGUGCGUCACGGGCACCAUCUUCGGGCGCCGGCGCGGGCGCGUGCACGUGGCGCUGCAGACGGACCCGCGAUCGGCGCCGGUGCUGCUGGUGGAGAUGGCCGCCUACUCCACCGGCGCGCUCGUCAGGGAGAUGUCCUCGGGCCUCGUGCGCCUCGCGCUCGAGUGCGAGAAGCCGCCGCUCAACGCAGGGGAGAAGCGGCGGCCGCUGCUGGAGGAGCCGACGUGGCGCGCGUACUGCAACGGGCUCAAGUGCGGCUACGCGGUGCACCGCGAGUGCGGCGCCGACGAGUGGCGCGUGCUGGGCGCCGUGGAGCAGGUGUCCGUCGGCGCCGGCGUGCUCCCGGACGACGGUGCCGCCGGGGCCGCAGGCGGCGCCGGCGAGGGCGAUCUGAUGUACAUGCGCGCCAAGUUCGAGCGGGUCGUCGGAUCGAGGGACUCGGAGGCGUUCUACAUGAUGAACCCCGACGGCAGCGGAGGACCCGAGCUCAGCAUCUACCUGCUCAGAGUCUGA
rnacentral:rRNA from 1 species